rnacentral:rRNA from 1 species
AUACGGAGGGUCCAAGCGUUAUCCGGAAUCAUUGGGUUUAAAGGGUGCGCAGGCGGUUUAUUAAGUCAGUGGUGAAAUCUCGGGGCUCAACCUCGAAACUGCCAUUGAUACUGAUAAACCUGAGUUCAGUUGGAGUAGGCGGAAUGUGUAGUGUAGCGGUGAAAUGCUUAGAUAUUACACAGAACACCGAUAGCGAAGGCAGCUUACUAAACUGAUACUGACGCUGAGGCACGAAAGCGUGGGGAGCGAACAGGAUUAGAAACCCCAGUAGUCC